GAUGAACGCUGGCGGCGUGCCUAACACAUGCAAGUCGAACGGAGUCCCGCCUUAGAGCCCUUCGGGUCAAAGAGGGGAAGACUGAGUGGCGGACGGGUGAGUAACACGUGGGCAACCUGGCUCAUAGAGGGGGAUAACAGAGAGAAAUUUCUGCUAAUACCGCAUAAGCACACACUGCCGCAUGGCAGAGUGUGAAAAGAGAAUCGCUAUGAGAUGGACCCGCGUCUGAUUAGCCAGUUGGCAGGGUAAGAGCCUACCAAAGCGACGAUCAGUAGCCGAUUUGAGAGGAUGAACGGCCACAUUGGGACUGAGACACGGCCCAAACUCCUACGGGAGGCAGCAGUGGGGGAUAUUGCACAAUGGGGGGAACCCUGAUGCAGCGACGCCGCGUGAGUGAAGAAGUAUUUCGGUAUGUAAAGCUCUAUCAGCAGGGAAGAUAAUGACAGUACCUGAAUAAGAAGCCCCGGCUAACUACGUG
rnacentral:rRNA from 1 species